GACGAACCGUGCGAACGUUGUUCGGAUUCACUGGGCUUAAAGGGCGCGUAGGCGGGCGGUCAAGUCAGGGGUGAAAUCUUUCGGCUCAACCGGAAAAGUGCCUUUGAUACUGGCCGUCUCGAGGGAGGUAGGGGCAUGCGGAACUUCCGGUGGAGCGGUGAAAUGCGUAGAUAUCGGAAGGAACGCCGGUGGCGAAAGCGCUCUGCUGGACUGCAACUGACACUGAGGGACGAAAGCUAGGGGAGCGAAAGGG
rnacentral:rRNA from 1 species